UGAGGAAUAUUGGUCAAUGGACGCAAGUCUGAACCAGCCAAGUAGCGUGAAGGAUGAAGGUUCUAUGGAUUGUAAACUUCUUUUAUAUGGGAAUAAAACCACUUACGUGUAGGUGUCUGUAUGUACCAUAUGAAUAAGGACCGGCUAACUCCGUGCCAGCAGCCGCGGUAAUACGGAGGGUCCGAGCGUUAUCCGGAUUUAUUGGGUUUAAAGGGAGCGUAGAUGGGUUUUUAAGUCAGUUGUGAAAGUUUGCGGCUCAACCGUAAAAUUGCAAUUGAUACUGAAGACCUUGAGUAUAGUUGAGGUGGGCGGAAUUCGUGGUGUAGCGGUGAAAUGCUUAGAUAUCACGAAGAACUCCGAUUGCGAAGGCAGCUCACUAAGCUAUAACUGACAUUGAGGC
rnacentral:rRNA from 1 species